rnacentral:rRNA from 1 species
GGACCAGACUCCUACGGGAGGCAGCAGUAGGGAAUUUUCGUCAAUGGGGGAAACCCUGAACGAGCAAUGCCGCGUGAGUGAAGAAGGCCUUCGGGUCGUAAAGCUCUGUUGUAAGAGAAAAACGGUAAUGAUAGGAAAUGAUCAUUAAGUGAUGGUAUCUUACGAGGAAGCCACGGCUAACUAUGUGCCAGCAGCCGCGGUAAUACGUAGGUGGCAAGCGUUAUCCGGAUUUAUUGGGUUUAAAGGGUGCGUAGGCGGACGCUUAAGUCGGCGGUAAAAUUGCGGGGCUCAACCUCGUCGAGCCGUUGAAACUGGGUGCCUUGAGUGGGCGAGAAGUACGCGGAAUGCGUGGUGUAGCGGUGAAAUGCAUAGAUAUCACGCAGAACUCCGAUUGCGAAGGCAGCGUACCGGCGCCCAACUGACGCUGAAGCACGAAGGCGUGGGUAUCGAACAGGAUUAGAUACCCGCGUA